rnacentral:rRNA from 1 species
UACGUAGGGUGCAAGCAUUGUCCGGAAUUAUUGGGCGUAAAGAGCUCGUAGGCGGUCUGUCGCGUCGGCUGUGAAAACUCGGGGCUCAACUCCGAGCUUGCAGUCGAUACGGGCAGGCUAGAGUUCGGCAGGGGAGACUGGAAUUCCUGGUGUAGCGGUGAAAUGCGCAGAUAUCAGGAGGAACACCGGUGGCGAAGGCGGGUCUCUGGGCCGAUACUGACGCUGAGGAGCGAAAGCGUGGGGAGCGAACAGG